GAUGAACGCUGGCGGCGUGCCUAAUACAUGCAAGUCGAACGAGUUCUCGUUGAUGAUCGGUGCUUGCACCGAGAUUCAACAUGGAACGAGUGGCGGACGGGUGAGUAACACGUGGGUAACCUGCCCUUAAGUGGGGGAUAACAUUUGGAAACAGAUGCUAAUACCGCAUAGAUCCAAGAACCGCAUGGUUCUUGGCUGAAAGAUGGCGUAAGCUAUCGCUUUUGGAUGGACCCGCGGCGUAUUAGCUAGUUGGUGAGGUAAUGGCUCACCAAGGCGAUGAUACGUAGCCGAACUGAGAGGUUGAUCGGCCACAUUGGGACUGAGACACGGCCCAAACUCCUACGGGAGGCAGCAGUAGGGAAUCUUCCACAAUGGACGCAAGUCUGAUGGAGCAACGCCGCGUGAGUGAAGAAGGCUUUCGGGUCGUAAAACUCUGUUGUUGGAGAAGAAUGGUCGGCAGAGUAACUGUUGUCGGCGUGACGGUAUCCAACCAGAAAGCCACGGCUAACUACGUGCCAGCAGCCGCGGUAAUACGUAGGUGGCAAGCGUUAUCCGGAUUUAUUGGGCGUAAAGCGAGCGCAGGCGGUUUUUUAAGUCUGAUGUGAAAGCCCUCGGCUUAACCGAGGAAGCGCAUCGGAAACUGGGAAACUUGAGUGCAGAAGAGGACAGUGGAACUCCAUGUGUAGCGGUGAAAUGCGUAGAUAUAUGGAAGAACACCAGUGGCGAAGGCGGCUGUCUGGUCUGUAACUGACGCUGAGGCUCGAAAGCAUGGGUAGCGAACAGGAUUAGAUACCCUGGUAGUCCAUGCCGUAAACGAUGAAUGCUAGGUGUUGGAGGGUUUCCGCCCUUCAGUGCCGCAGCUAACGCAUUAAGCAUUCCGCCUGGGGAGUACGACCGCAAGGUUGAAACUCAAAGGAAUUGACGGGGGCCCGCACAAGCGGUGGAGCAUGUGGUUUAAUUCGAAGCAACGCGAAGAACCUUACCAGGUCUUGACAUCUUUUGAUCACCUGAGAGAUCAGGUUUCCCCUUCGGGGGCAAAAUGACAGGUGGUGCAUGGUUGUCGUCAGCUCGUGUCGUGAGAUGUUGGGUUAAGUCCCGCAACGAGCGCAACCCUUAUGACUAGUUGCCAGCAUUUAGUUGGGCACUCUAGUAAGACUGCCGGUGACAAACCGGAGGAAGGUGGGGAUGGCGUCAAAUCAUCAUGCCCCUUAUGACCUGGGCUACACACGUGCUACAAUGGAUGGUACAACGAGUUGCGAGACCGCGAGGUCAAGCUAAUCUCUUAAAGCCAUUCUCAGUUCGGACUGUAGGCUGCAACUCGCCUACACGAAGUCGGAAUCGCUAGUAAUCGCGGAUCAGCACGCCGCGGUGAAUACGUUCCCGGGCCUUGUACACACCGCCCGUCACACCAUGAGAGUUUGUAACACCCGAAGCCGGUGGCGUAACCCUUUUAGGGAGCGAGCCGUCUAAGGUGGGACAAA
rnacentral:rRNA from 1 species